rnacentral:tRNA from 1 species
GGGCUCGUGGUGUAGCUUGGUCGAACACAUCUGCCUGUCACGCAGAAGAUCGCGGGUUCAAAUCCCGUCGAGCCCGCCA